rnacentral:lncRNA from 1 species
AAUACCUUAUUGAUACAUUGCAUGAGUAGAUAGUUAUCCUAAAGUCUUGCUGAGUACCUCCGUACUCAUGUUUGCUUAAUAAAUGUUGCAGAGGUUGCUAAUGACCCUAAUGGAGGGUUCUUCAUAGACAUCGACGACGACGAGUAGCUGGUGUCCCAACUACGAUCUGGCCCUAGGUUGGGCCUGUAGUAUAGUCAGGCCAUGUGCCUUCUAGUUUCACCUGUCUGUACUCAGACAGUUUUAAACACUUCCGCUGGCUUGUAACUGAAUGACUGCUAUGAUGGGUCGUGAGAGCCUUACUGUGUAAUAUUAUGUGUGUGGCUCUUCCGAGCCUCUUAAAUAAAGCUUG